CAGCAGCCGCGGUAAUACAGAGGGUGCAAGCGUUAAUCGGAAUUACUGGGCGUAAAGCGCGCGUAGGUGGUUUGUUAAGUUGGAUGUGAAAUCCCCGGGCUCAACCUGGGAACUGCAUCCAAAACUGGCAAGCUAGAGUAUGGUAGAUGGUGGUGGAAUUUCCUGUGUAGCGGUGAAAUGCGUAGAUAUAGGAAGGAACACCAGUGGCGAAGGCGACCACCUGGACUGAUACUGACACUGAGGUGCGAAAGCGUGGGGAGCAAACAGGAUUAGAUACCCCUGUAGUCCCUGUCUCUUAUAC
rnacentral:rRNA from 1 species